CCUACGGGAGGCAGCAGUGGGGAAUAUUGCACAAUGGGGGAAACCCUGAUGCAGCGAUGCCGCGUGGAGGAAGAAGGUUUUCGGAUUGUAAACUCCUUUUAUCAGGGACGAUAAUGACGGUACCUGAAGAAAAAGCUCCGGCUAACUACUUGCCAGCAGCCACGGUAAAACGUAGGUAGCGAGCGUUGUCCGGAAUUAAUGGGUGUAAGGGGAGCUUAGGCGGGACGGCAAUGCAGAGGUGAAAACUGAGGGCUCAACUUUCAGACUGCAUUUGAAACUGCUGUUCGUGAGUGAAGUAGAGGUAAGCGGAAUUCCUAGUGUAGCGGUGAAAUGCGUAGAUAUUAGGAGGAACAUCGGUGGCGAAGGCGGCUUACUGGGCUUUUACUGACGCUGAGGCUCGAAAGCGUGGGGAGCAAACAGGAUUAGAUACCCCGGUAGUC
rnacentral:rRNA from 1 species